rnacentral:rRNA from 1 species
AAUGCCUAGGAAUCUGCCCAUUAGCGGGGGACAACGUGUGGAAACGCACGCUAAUACCGCAUACGCCCUACGGGGGAAAGCAGGGGACUCUUUUAGAGCCUUGCACUAAUGGAUGAGCCUAGGUCGGAUUAGCUAGUUGGUGGGGUAAAGGCCUACCAAGGCGACGAUCUGUAGCGGGUCUGAGAGGAUGAUCCGCCACACUGGAACUGAGACACGGUCCAGACUCCUACGGGAGGCAGCAGUGGGGAAUAUUGGACAAUGGGCGCAAGCCUGAUCCAGCCAUGCCGCGUGUGUGAAGAAGGCCUUUUGGUUGUAAAGCACUUUAAGCGAGGAGGAGGCUACCGAGAUUAAUACUCUUGGAUAGUGGACGUUACUCGCAGAAUAAGCACCGGCUAACUCUGUGCCAGCAGCCGCGGUAAUACAGAGGGUGCGAGCGUUAAUCGGAUUUACUGGGCGUAAAGCGUGCGUAGGCGGCUUUUUAAGUCGGAUGUGAAGUCCCUGAGCUUAACUUAGGAAUUGCAUUCGAUACUGGGAAGCUAGAGUAUGGGAGAGGAUGGUAGAAUUCCAGGUGUAGCGGUGAAAUGCGUAGAGAUCUGGAGG